AUGGCACUUCUAGUCGCAUGGUGGUAGGGGCAGUGGGUGACUGAGCACCUGGAGAACAGAAAAGCCAUGAACCGGUGGGAAGAUGGGUGCAAAUGGGACAUGUUUGGGGCAGAAGUAAGUGGAUGAAUAGGGAAGAGAGGAGGAGUUCAAUUUUGGAUAUAGGAAGUUUGAGAUGCCUAGUAGCUAUCCAAAUGGGGAGAUCAAUAAGUGACUAGAUAGUUUGGAGCUGGCUGUAGAUAUAAAUCUGAAAGUUAGUGAUGUCGUUUGAAAGCCAUGAGAUUAGGUGAGCUCACUGAGGAAUAGAGAAAAAGAGGACCACCCCCGAAUCCAAGCUGUCUGACAUGAAAACUCGGGGAGGAGAAGAGAAACUGACAAAAACAGAUUGAAAAAGAGGGAUCAGUGUUGUAGGAGGAAGAUCUCAGAGAAGAGACGACCAACUUUGUCAGAUGGGCUGCUGUGUCAAAACCGCAUGGACGCUGAAUGGACGGCUGACGUCAGCAACAUAAAGACUGGAGAGAGACUCUUCCGCUGACCUUGAAGGAGUAAGCUGCUACCACGUGAACAGUUGAGAGACGACCGCGUGGUUUGGCACAGUGGGCAGCUUAAAGGAUCUGAGGCCUCAGUGAUGAAGUAGCAAGAACAUGAAUCCUGCCAGUACUUUGGCGUUCCUGGCCACUCUGGCCAACUGCAGGCCCUCGUUUGUGGGGGCCCACCUGGUUCACACUGACCUCACAGACAAGCAGGGCAGGCUGGCAGAUUUUGAAGGAAGGGCAUGCUCUGUUUUUUCUCUUAAGCUCACCGACAGAACACUCCCUCUUCCUCCCAAGCAGGGGCCUGAACAGGGCCAGAAUUGGGGCAAAGCCAGCGCAGGGUCAGAGUCUGUCUUGAUAUUCGAAGCCAGGGUUGAGUCCUCCUAACAGGGCGAGUUCUCUGACAAGGAAGUUUUGCAAGCAAAUUUACAGCUGGAGUCAAGCUCGUCAGUGAGGGCCAGAGGGGAACUGUCGCAAUCCACUGGGUGUUUGAAAAAUGCCUCUAACGUGUGUGGGCUAGAAUACAUUUUGUUUUUCUGUGGGCAUAUUCAUUUAACAAGGGCAGCCUUUGAGGAACGAUCAAAAACUGUUUGUCAUUUUUCCAAAUCAUCUCUCUCUGCGGUGACCAUGACUUAAUCCUGAAGGAAAACAAGUCUUUUCCCUUCUGGUCUCUGCGCUCUUGAAGGACAUUUGGAAGUCCCAGGACUUAAGGCUGAUCCUGGCACAGAUGAGGACAGGAAGAGGUGGUAAAGAAAAUAAGCUUACAAAUAUAGCCUACGAAACCACGCAUGAGUAAAUAAAGAACUAGGAGACGCCACUGCAGAGGAGAGGACGAGAAGCACCUGAGGGCAGAGGUGGGAAUGGGUGCAGAAGGGACUCUGACACAAUCGGAGAAGCUCCCACAAGCAUGGUGCCUGAUGCCUGACACAGCAAAGUGUAUCUACUCUAUUGCAAACGUCUUUACCUUUUUCA